CUUGUUACCCGGAUGAUCUACUCGCCAAAACGGCAGUUUGUCAUCUUAAAAAUAUUUCCCAUCAAACUAGGAAAUGUCAGUGUAAUAUGCGUCUAAGCCAGUGGCACUAACAAACAGCAGCUAAAUGUUUGUGAGAAUCCGAAUGCAGUUUUGCUCGCUUCGUAAAUUGUUACGGACAGAAAACACGAUGGCCUCUUGCAGCGCUCUGAUGUCUGUGUAAAGAAAGAGAAAACUCGGGUGAGUAUCAGAUUUUGUGGCAGAACCAUCACAGAGAGAAACCCAUGGCCACGUCCUCCUCCAAGAGCAAAUAUUUCUGCAGAUGUGCGAUGUGUCAUUUAAAUAGAAGGCUCUAAAGGGUUGCAGGUAAACAGAGUGUCAAUCAUCGGGAUUAGUUCACACAGAAACGCUCGGCUCCUCUUUGUUGCACGCUUUGGGGGAAACUCUGCAGCGAUGUCAUCCACUGUGUCUGUGGCAGAUUUCAAAAGCUGCAAUAUCACGAUUGUGGAUGUAAACAAUUUACAGACACGUUUGUGGUGCAGCUCAAUACGUCCAUCACAUGUCUGCUUAUGGGAGUAAUUCAAUGAAAAAUUUUAAAUCUGUCAGCCUUGUGUGAUUCCAAUCCUGGAUAUUGUUAUUUUUCUUUACAUUUAGGAUAUUUUAAAUAAAUUAUAAUAAAUAAU